GUGUAAGCGAACGAGAGGGAGCUGCGGACUGCUCAGUAACAGGCGAAUAAUUUAAUCUUUACAAACGGACAAACUCAGGAAACGGAGUGAAAUACGAAAAAGUUGAUAUUUUUAUAAAAGAAAAUCGAAACUAGCUUGAAAAAGCGGUAAAGAAUAAGACGCCAGCCCAUCAGUUAGUAAGUAGGGUAAGGGCCUAUUUAGACGAAUACGGGUACGGGGAAUUAGGGUUUGAUUCCGGAGAGGGAGCCUGA
rnacentral:rRNA from 1 species